rnacentral:rRNA from 1 species
UGCAGUCGAACGAGAAAGUACCCUUCGGGGUGCGAGUAAAGUGGCGAACGGGUGAGUAACACGUGGGUAACCUGCCUUUGAGUGGGGAACAACCCCUCUAACGAGGGGCUAAUACCGCAUAAUGCAGCGGCUCCGCAUGGAGACAGUUGUUAAAGGGGCAGCUUCGGUUGUCUCGCUUGAAGAUGGACCCGCGGUCCAUUAGCUUGUUGGUGAGGUAACGGCUCACCAAGGCAACGAUGGAUAGCCGGCCUGAGAGGGUGUACGGUCACACUGGAACUGAGAAAGGUCCAGUCCCCUACGGGGGCCAGCAGUCUAGAAAUUUGCGCAAUGGGCGAAAGCCUGACGCAGCGACGCCACGUGGAGGAUGAAGCCCUUAGGGGUGUAAACUCCUGUCAGAAGGGAAGAAUGCAGGAAAUAACUUUUCCUGUUUGACGGUACCUUCAGAGGAAGCCCCGGCUAACUUCGUGCCAGCAGCCGCGGUAAUACGAAGGGGGCAAGCGUUGUUCGGAUUUACUGGGCGUAAAGGGCGUGCAGGCGGACCGAUAAGUCGUCUGUGAAAUCUGUCGGCUCAACCAACAACUUGCAGUCGAAACUAUCGGUCUUGAGUACAGGAGAGGAGAGCGGAAUCUCAGGUGUAGCGGUGAAAUGCGUAGAUAUCUGGGAGAACACCGGUGGCGAAGGCGGCUCUCUGGCCUGAUACUGACGCUGAGGCGCGAAAGCUAGGGGAGCGAACGGGAUUAGAUACCCCGGUAGUCCUAGCUGUAAACGAUGGGUACUAGUGUUGGAGGUAUUGACCCCUCCAGUGCCGCAGCUAACGCAUUAAGUACCCCGCCUGGGGAGUACGGUCGCAAGGCUGAAACUCAA